GGGGAGGGGGUGCUCACCUUCCCACCGACCAGAGGGAUCCCUGUGCAAGGACGCCUUAGCAAGCCACCACCGAGCAGAGCGGGGCACGCGGCGGGGGCGGGGGUACUGGGGCAGGGUUGGCAGAGACACAACCGGGGAGUCAGGGAACAAGGUGGGAAACAGGACAGGGCGGGGAGGACGCGGCAGGUGGCCCAGGGCGUCCGGAACCCUCACGGACUCUGUGUGGGCUCAUGCGGGCCAGGGUGCCACCGAGAGAAUAUGGCCCGGGGGCAGGCUGGGGCCACGGGACACAUUGUUUCACUGGACUUCCACCACGACUUGUCCCGUCCCUGCCCUGUGGGGUCACAGGACCCAGCGUCCUCACUCCCUUCCUCCCCACGAAGCAGCUUCCAGGUCCCCACGCUGUCAGGCUGCUCUGCUCCCCCUCCGUGUCCUCAAACCCUUCCUCAAGAGAGUUCCGCAGUUCCCUGGCCCCUGUUGUAAAGGCCUCAGGGAAAAGUGGAAUCUGACUGCCGUCCCCCCAGCCUGGCCACAGGGAGUGCCUGCCGGCCCCCGGAGCCCGCCAGCCAGAAGCACAGAGGGGACCGGGCGGGGACCCUGGAAUGGCCUGUCACCUGCUGCCAUGUGCUCUGGAGGGCUUCAGGAGAUGCAGGAGUGGCAGUGGUCCCCAGCAGUACAGUGUAUGCCUGGACCAUGCGGCAGAGGGGAGGCAGCUGGGAGCCCCAGAGUAAGUGGAGGAAGUGUGGGGGCUUCAGGGCCAGGCGGUGAGCACAGAGCCUGGAGCUGGUGCACCUGCAGGGGCAGGAGGCCCUUGGAGGGCAGGCAAGGCGGCGGGAGGCUCUUGCUCGCUAUUUGGAGCCAAUGAUCUCAUCUGGUCUCUAGACCUAGAAACCAUCGAAGUGCACUGUGUGGGUAUAGCGUCAUUUCCCCAGCAUCUACCGACCGUCGGUGUCCACCAGCAAGGAGGGCGCCGGGCACCCUGGGCUAUCCAGCAAGGACCUCGCCACUCCCAAGAUGCUCUGUCUGGUGAGCCGCUCCCACCUACCUCCCC
rnacentral:lncRNA from 1 species